rnacentral:rRNA from 1 species
CAUUCACCGUAAGAAGUUGAGUGGCGGACGGGUGAGUAACACGUGGGUAACCCGCCUAAAAGAAGGGGAUAACACUUGGAAACAGGUGCUAAUACCGUAUAUCUCUAAGGAUCGCAUGAUCCUUAGAUGAAAGAUGGUUCUGCUAUCGCUUUUAGAUGGACCCGCGGCGUAUUAACUAGUUGGUGGGGUAACGGCCUACCAAGGUGAUGAUACGUAGCCGAACUGAGAGGUUGAUCGGCCACAUUGGGACUGAGACACGGCCCAAACUCCUACGGGAGGCAGCAGUAGGGAAUCUUCCACAAUGGACGCAAGUCAGAUGGAGCAACGCCGCGUGAGUGAAGAAGGUCUUCGGAUCGUAAAACUCUGUUGUUAGAGAAGAACACGAGUGAGAGUAACUGCUCAUUCGAUGACGGUAUCUAACCAGCAAGUCACGGCUAACUACGUGCCAGCAGCCGCGGUAAUACGUAGGUGGCAAGCGUUGUCCGGAUUUAUUGGGCGUAAAGGGAACGCAGGCGGUCUUUUAAGUCUGAUGUGAAAGCCUUCGGCUUAACCGGAGUUAGUGCAUUGGAAACUGGAAGACUUGAGUGCA